UACGGGGGGAGCAAGCGUUGUUCGGAUUUACUGGGCGUAAAGGGCGCGUAGGCGGCCACCGCAAGUCGACUGUGAAAUCUCCGGGCUUAACCCGGAAAGGUCAGCCGAUACUGCGGGGCUAGAGUGCAGAAGGGGCAACUGGAAUUCUCGGUGUAGCGGUGAAAUGCGUAGAUAUCAGGAGGAACACCGAUGGCGAAGGCAGGUCUCUGGGCCACUACUGACGCUGAGGAGCGAAAGCGUGGGGAGCGAACAGG
rnacentral:rRNA from 1 species